UAAGGUUGUAGAAUAUAGUACAUUUUAUACUGUGGGGAAUCUAUCAGCCUGGUCUGUUAGAGUUAUGAUUUGAUAAUAACAUUAUGAAAAUCAGUUCUUCUUUUUUCUGGAACAGUUGAGAAACUGCAUUCUUCAAGUUUAUCAGAACAGCUUAAUUUAAAAGUGAAACAGACCAUUACUACUGCUGCAUCAAUUAUGAAAAAGAACUUUAACAAGAAAAUCAUUUCAGACUGGAAAGUCUAAUCACUAAUGGCUGCCAACAGAUUGUUCAUCUGCUUCUUGGAAAUCACUGCUUUUAUGGACUACUUUCAGAAAGAGGAGGAAGAAACACAGCCUGCUUCCCCAAAGUGACAUUUGGCACAACAACCUUUCAUUUUAAAAGCAAACUUGUACUUUGUACUUUGAAAACUUUGUACUUGAUUAAAAUACUCAAUCUAAAAUGACUCCUUGUACUGUGUCUGGCUGGGAUGGAAUUAAUUUUCUUCAUAGCAGUUCAUAUGGUGUUGUGUUUUAGAUUUGUGACCACAGCCGUGUUGAUAGCACACUGAUGUUUUAGCUGCUGCCAAGCAGUGCUUGCAGCAUCAGGGCUUCCUCUCUUUCUCACU
rnacentral:lncRNA from 1 species